UACGUAGGGAGCUAGCGUUGUCCGGAAUCAUUGGGCGUAAAGCGCGCGUAGGCGGCUCGGUAAGUCCGCUGUGAAAGUCAAAGGCUCAACCUUUGAAUGUCAGCGGAUACUGCCGGGCUAGAGUCCGGAAGAGGCGAGUGGAACUCCUGGUGUAGCGGUGGAAUGCGCAGAUAUCGAGAGGAACACCGAUGGCGAAGGCAGGUCUCUGGGCCACUACUGACGCUGAGAAGCGAAAGCAUGGGGAGCGAACAGG
rnacentral:rRNA from 1 species